rnacentral:rRNA from 1 species
UUGGUGAGUGGCGGACGGGUGAGUAACACGUGGGUAACCUGCCCAGAAGUGGGGGAUAACAUUUGGAAACAAGUGCUAAUACCGCAUAACAACAUUUAUCUCAUGAUUUAUGUUUAAAAGAUGGUUCUGCUAUCUCUUCUGGAUGGACCCGCGGCGUAUUAGCUAGUUGGUGAGGUAAUAGCUCACCAAGGCGAUGAUACGUAGCCGACCUGAGAGGGUAAUCGGCCACAUUGGGACUGAGACACGGCCCAAACUCCUACGGGAGGCAGCAGUAGGGAAUCUUCCACAAUGGACGAAAGUCUGAUGGAGCAACGCCGCGUGAGUGAAGAAGGUUUUCGGAUCGUAAAACUCUGUUGUUGAAGAAGAACAUAUGUGAGAGUAACUGUUCACGUACUGACGGUAUUCAACCAGAAAGCCACGGCUAACUACGUGCCAGCAGCCGCGGUAAUACGUAGGUGGCAAGCGUUGUCCGGAUUUAUUGGGCGUAAAGAGAAUGUAGGCGGU